UACGUAGGUGGCAAGCGUUGUCCGGAUUUACUGGGCGUAAAGAGCGCGCAGGCGGUCGUUCAAGUCGCGUGUGAAAGCCCCCGGCUCAACUGGGGAGGGUCACGCGAUACUGAUCGACUCGAAGGCAGGAGAGGGUAGUGGAAUUCCCGGUGUAGUGGUGAAAUGCGUAGAUAUUCGCAAGAACACCAGUGGCGAAGGCGGCUCACUGGCCCGAUACUGACGCUGAGGCACGAAAGCGUGGGGAGCAACAGG
rnacentral:rRNA from 1 species